ACUGCCCCUAGAGGUUUUGCAGGUGUGGCUGCUAUGUCGCAUGUGCAUUCUUAAAAGGCAGAGAGGAGAGAGGAUAUGUCUGUGCUCGGUGUUCUGAUCUGUGAAAAUCUGAAUGAUUAGUAUCCUAACAGU